rnacentral:rRNA from 1 species
CUGGAGGUAUCAGAAGUGCGAAUGCUGACAUAAGUAACGAUAAAGCGGGUGAAAAGCCCGCUCGCCGGAAGACCAAGGGUUCCUGUCCAACGUUAAUCGGGGCAGGGUGAGUCGACCCCUAAGGCGAGGCCGAAAGGCGUAGUCGAUGGGAAACAGGUUAAUAUUCCUGUACUUGGUGUUACUGCGAAGGGGGGACGGAGAAGGCUAUGUUGGCCGGGCGACGGUUGUCCCGGUUUAAGCGUGUAGGCUGGUUUUCCAGGCAAAUCCGGAAAAUCAAGGCUGAGGCGUGAUGACGAGGCACUACGGUGCUGAAGCAACAAAUGCCCUGCUUCCAGGAAAAGCCUCUAAGCAUCAGGUAACAUCAAAUCGUACCCCAAACCGACAC